GCACAUGACAUGGUGUUUGUG
rnacentral:siRNA from 1 species